rnacentral:lncRNA from 1 species
AAAUUUCAAGUCGUCACAUAUAUUCUCUACACGCACCCUUAUUAAGAAAUUCAGUUUUGAUAGCACAAUUUGAAUUUUAUUCAUGAUUUAAAUUUGAAUUAAAAUUAUAAAUUUAGUAUUAUAUAUUGAAAUACGACAUUAUAUAUGUAUACACGCUUGGGAGAGAAAUUUUGGAUUUGAAUUCAAAAUUUAUAAAUAGUUUGUUCUAAUAAUCAAAGUCCAAUCCUAACUAUGAUCGUGGACAUACCAAGGAUUGGUUUCUCCCUCAACUACUAGGGCUUAGUUUGGUAUUGAGAUCUAUCUAACGUUAUUAGAUAAAAUGGAGUUGAGGAAAAAGCAUAUAGGGAUAUACUUCUGCGUUCUCUGGUGGGACCGCAGAAAAUAUAUCGUAACCGACUCAUCGCAAUAUGCGGAACGCAAUAUUAUAUACGGAAACAAACAGGGUAUUUUUUCAUCGUCGUUUCUCACUUCACGUAACACAAUUUCCCUCCAAUCCCAGGCGGGGAGAUUGCGUUACGUACGGUGACAAAGUACGUUGAAAAAAUAGCAUAUUUGUUUUCUUACAUAAUAUUGCGUUCCGCAUAUCGCGAUGAGUUGGUUACGAUAUAUUUUCUGUGGUCCCAUCGGAAAAAACAGAAACAUAUCCUUAUAUACUUUUUCCUCAACUUCAUUUUAUCUAAUAACGUUAGAUAGAGCUCAAUACCAAACUAAGCCUAAUAGAUCUAUCUUCAAGCUAACAGCUGAAUCUGAUGUGGGGGCAACGCGAAUAGCCGCAUCAGCAGCCGGUUGGACGAAAGGGAAAAGUACAGGAGCUUUUUUAUAAUUAAAUAAAUUUUGAGUCAAAUUUUAAAUUUAAUUUUUAAUUUUGAUUAGAAUUCUUAAUCAAAUUUAGAUUUUUUUAAUUCAAAUAUAGAUUUUGGACUUAAAAUUCAAAUGGAAUUUAUAUUUAAAUUUCAAAUCUAAAUUUAUAUACAAAAUCAAAGUUAAAUAUAAAUACAAAACUUAAAAUUUAACAUUUAAAUAUUAUAUUCAAAUUUAAAUUUGAAUAAAUUUUGAAUUUAAAUUUGAAAUUUAGAUCUAGCUUUAAUUUGAAAUUUAAAUUUGAAAUUUGUUUGGACUUAAUACUUCGCUUUGUGAACUCAAGUAGCUAGGGGCUCUAGUGAAGCAACGGCGAUAUUCGCCAAUUUAAGCUUGUUUCUUCGUUCUCGAGUGAUUAGUGUUAAAUAUAAAAAUGUUUAAACACUAUUUUCUAACAGCUUAAACUUUUAGAGUACAACGGUUAUUUCACAUGAUAUCAGAGCAGGAAGUUCUGAGUUCUUAAGUUUUUAGAGUUCAACGGUUAUUUCACGAUUGGAUUGAAGCUUCUCGAGCUCAUUUACAAGGCGCAUACAUCGAAUUGAGCGAGGCUUGAACCGCUUCUUCUCGAGCUCUUCGGAUCUCUCCUCUAGUUAAUAUCUGCUGCUCCCUUCAAUGUGGCCUUUAUAGUUUCAUCUUCUUCUACUGAUUCUCUCGAAUUGGCUUUAUCACUAUCAUCUCUCCUAUUAUUCUCCUUUGCUUAUUUAUAGUUUGCUUUGAACUAAAGUUAAAAUUGGGCGAAUUUCACUGUGGAUUUUAGUGGGAAUAUGCCUACUUGGUUCUUGUUGUAUGUGAUCUUGACCAUGUUGCUUGCUUCGCUUUUUAUGGAGCAAAGGUUUCAAAUUACUUUGGUUUUAUUUGAUAGUUUAUUAAGCUUGUUCGGAGAUGAGAUUCAAGCCAUUGCUGUUUCCUGAGCUGUGAUCAAAUGUUAGGUGCCAUUGCCAUGUUUAUUUGAUUUUGCUUUUGCUUUUGCUUUUGCUUUUGGUAGUAGUAGUCUUUAAUAAAACUAUUGGCGAUGAAAAUUAAGAAUUACAGAAAUAAAAUUAUCUCGAAAGAAAAGUUUAAUUUGAAUUGUAUUAAGAUUCGCCCACGUUGGUACUUAUCUAAAAUAUUUCUAAACCGCAUGAGAUAACAAAUAAGUUUAAAAGAUAAAUUAUAUUCCCUUUAAAUUACUAUCUUUAUGGGAUUCAAAUAGAAUCAGAUUAGUAUUAAUAUUUUUCCUACUACCUAUCUAAAAUAUUUCUAAAUCGCAUGAGAUAACGAAUAAGUUUAAAAGAUAAAUUAUAUUCUCUUUAAAUUAAUAUCUUUAUGAGAUUCAAAUACAAUCAUAUUAGUAUUAAUAUUUUUCCUACUACCUAUAAAUAUACGACGGAUUGGCUACAAGUAAUUAUAUACAAGAAAAAAUUAGAAUAUUUUUUUUGCAGAAAUUUUCUCUUUUGGGUUCGCUCUUGAAUACCAUAAAAAAUUCUAGAAAUUUGGACGGUGUGCUGGAAUCGACUUUGGUAGCCAAUUGCAAUAUUAAUUCCGCGAUGAAAAAGGUAUGCAAAAUUUAUAUAAUUUUUCAUAAUGAUUUGGUUAAUAAUUUUUAACAAAUUGAAACCAGCGGAUUGAAUCGGGUUUGUGCGAGCUUGAAAACCAGAUCGGAUUGGAUUGAAUUUGUCCGGUCCGGAUCUGGUCCACUCGAGGGGUAGAUUCGGUCUAUAGGAAACAUCCCGUUAUAUAUAUGUAUGCAAUGUUUUUCUUAUUCUUUUUCCUUUUUUUUACCCUACUAAUUGGAAUAUUUGAUAUUUGAUAUUCCUCUCGUCAUAUUGAUGUAUGCUAAUUAAUCCUUCCCACAUAUUAUCACAUGUCAUAUAUCAUUUUAAUUAAUUGCAUUCCUUUUAACCCGCUGAUAUUGCAAUCAAAUGUGUAAUUAAUUAUACCGUAUUUGUACAAAUAUUAAUUCUUUCUUUUUUUGGAACCAAAGAAUGAUACACUAGAGAUUUCAUUAGACAACACAUAUAUUCAACCCCUUGAACUUCUAUAUAAACCUGAUCCCUUUCACCUCUUAUUUGCAAGAUUUUUUAUAUAUGUGUGAUUACUCUUAUUUUUCACCCUCUCACCAAACGAUCUAAGUUCCUUUGUUAACAUACACAGAUGACCAUGAAGGUGAGUGCUAGUGUUGUUGCCCUAGUGUCCAUCCUCCUCAUGUUGGUCCCUCUCGCAGCUCGCGCCGACGAGUUCAUCGUCGGAGACGACCAACACUGGCGGUUCGGGCUCAAUUACACCGCUUGGGCUUACGAAUACACUUUCGUCUGGAACGACACACUAGGUAAUUAGGUUUGAAAACGAUCGCGGAUUAAUUGAAUUUAUCUAUACAUGCAAACCCUUUGAAUUAAAAUGAAUUUCAACAUAUAUAUAUUUUUCUUGCAUGCAGUGUUCAAGUAUGAUCCUCCGAAUGGCACCAACAUCCCCCACAAUGUGGUGCUCUUCAAUAACAUUCACGAUUACGACGCUUGCAACAUAAACAAGUCGACGCUGCUGGCGAACGUGACGCAGGGCGCGGGCGAGGGAUUCAGAAUUCGCCUCCUCAAUUUGACGCCGUACUACUUCGCGUGCGGAAUCCACGAAGGGUUUCACUGCAGGAAUGGGACCAUGAAGUUCACCGUGAUCACACUGGACUAGUAGUUGAGCUUGAUGAGAAGAUAGCUAGGGGGACGUACGUGCAUACGUACGUUGCAAUAUGCAUGCAUGCAGGGGAAGAGGCAAUGCUUUAAUAUUUUUUGAAUUAAAAUAUAGUAUAUUGUACUCUCUUUUACAUGUGCUUUUUUAGAUGAUUGUAUUAGGAGUCUAUUUACACGAUUGUGUUACGUUAAUUUGUUGGUUCAAAUUCAUGUUUAUGGACGGAGCGUUAUGCUCGAAAUAAUAAAUUAAGUUUGGCGAUGCUUAGAUAUGUGAUGUUUCGGGUCAUGCAUUGGAGAAACUGAUCUCUCUUUAGUUUCUCGGUAUAUAUUGAAAAUGAUUUCUAUUAUUAAUACUUGAAAUCAUAUUGCAUAUAAGUUAUUAUUUUUGGGAGCGCUUGUUUCAUAAGUCGUAAUCAUGGUAAUAUAUAUCAUUUGAUUCGGGUAAGUAUGUUAAAUGUUGAUUAUGUCGUAAUCAUGGUAAUAUAUAUCAUUUGAUUCGGGUAAGUAUGUUAAAUGUUGAUUCUGAUACUUACCCUGUGUAUUGAUCUCAAGUAAAAAAAGAAAGAAAGGAAAAUCAUAAAAAUCAUAAAAUUGUUUAAGAUCGGGAUUAAAGUCAAACAAUUCCAUCUAUUCACUAAAAAUUAAAAAUUGACAACUAACCCCUAUAUCUUGGUCUCAACACUCUCAAGAGGCUCUGAUCUUGACAAUCUUAUUCUUUUUUUUAAAAUAUUUUUUCCAAGGCGACUCAAUUCUGAUUCAUUCAUUUGUUAAAAUUAGAAUUUUCAAUUCUGUCUAAUUUUUAAUUGUUUAAAAAAUUGUUUAACCAAACCUCCCAAUUCAUAAAUACAUAUAAAGUUAAUUUUUUAUCUAGCACUCUUUCUCGGAAAUUUUUUUGGUUCAAAACCACAAUUUCUUUCAAUUAGAACUUUAAAAUUGCCCUUGUAUCUCACAUCUUCUCCCUCCACCUCUGAGGGUUUCCUCACAAAUUCUUAGAACUUUAUCUUCUCUCUCUUCGCGGCGGCAUCGAUGCUGUUAACGCUAAUAUAUAUAAGACUGUCUCAUUCUUUAUACGCAUAACUUUAAAAUUCAUGUCAUUUGACGAUAUAUACUAAUUCCCCUAAAUUUUUGUUCCAUUAACUUGUUUGCCAAUUUGAAACCGGUCACCCAAAACCGGUUCCUUAUAGUACCAGCAAAAAAAAAAAAAACNACAAAUUAAGCUGAGUAAAACGACCAAAAACUGGAGAGAAAAAACGGAAAAGAAAAGGAAAGACCAAAAAAAAAAAAAACAAAAAACAAAAAACAAAACAAACAAUUGCGACCGGUCCAGUUGAGCUCAUCCUGAGGCGAGCCGAGCCAUUACCAGCCUAUAAUUCGUCAUGGUCGGGGCCUAACUCGAGCUUAACCCAAACCCGAUUGAUCUAAUAAUAGAUCUAAAAAGAGAAGAUCGACAGAGAGUAAGAGAGACAGAGUGGGAGACGAGGAGGGAGACGAUCGAAGUGAAGUACUACGUCUUCUUCUUCGACGCGAAACAGAGCUUAACGAAGCGAUCGAGAGAGGAAGGAACGCGAUCGCCAUGAUCGGGGUGGGGAAAGCGAAGCAAUACGCGAACGUCCUCGACAAGCCCCUUAGCAGGGGGAGGCAAGAGGUACUCUCUCUCUCUCUCUCUCUCUCUCUCUCUCUCUCGAGAUCUCUGUUGAAUCAGGUACGCAAGGAUCGAAUCUAGGAACCCUAAAUUAGUGAUUAAUCUCGGGUUUCUCCUCCAAUUUCACUGCAUGCUUGCCCCAGUUUGUAGAUUUACUCUAAGAGCGCCAUGGCUUACUUUGGUUGGAUUUGGUGCUCGUUUUCUCGAUCUAGUGGUGGAAUUUGAGGAGGAGAGAUCGAUUCUUUCACUGAUAUGGUAGUUUGACUUGUGCAAGAACACUUUUGGUUGAGAAGGAGAGGAAAAAAGGGGAAGAUAUGGGAGAAGCAUUGUAAGGGAACAAAGAAAUUGAGACAAGGACUUCUUAGUUUUUAGUUUAUUCUACCUAUUCCGCGUGACAAUAUAUUAGAUUAAAGUGUGGUUGAAGGGCAUGAAUCGUGGAAAAUUGGAGAAACUGUAUUUUAUGGAAAUUUUUGCAAGUCAUUCCAAAAUAUGGGUUGGAUUUUAGUCUUUAAGCCCGGCAUGCGCCCUUUCUUAUAUACAACAAAUGAAUAGAACGCUAAAAUGUGAGUAUAAUGGACUUGAUUUGUAAUUUAGAGGGUUAAAUAUUGUUGGUUUGGUAUGGGAAUGGUAAUGUCAGGGAAUUCACGAGCAUUUUGCCUUGUUACAAUGCACAUUCUCCUCUAAUUUAUAGACUUCUACAUCAACGGAUACUUGUUAAGUUGGAUAUGCUCAAAGAGAUUGCAUAUAUCCUUGUAUUAUCUGCUUACUGUAUCAGACAUGGAUUGUUGGCAUCAUGCUGUGCAACCAUGCCCCAGCAACCUCGACCCUAGGUCAAUAGAACACUCUUUCUCUGUAAGUUGUCAUGAAGAUUUUCCGCUCUCUAAUCAAAAUAGUCACAUGAUGCACUGAUACCCGCUCUACGAUUUAUGACAGUUUGGCUUUAUAAGACAUGCUCUAGAGUUUAAGUGGCAAGGGUAAUAUGAAUCAACAAAAUGCUGUCUUGCUAAUAAGAGUAUUUUUUUUAAUAAGAGUAUUUUUUUUGAGUUCCAAAUAUUUGAAGAUUACUUGUGCUCCAAAGAGAUGCAUUUAGUUUUAUAGUAAUAUGAAAAAUUACCUAGGUUAGGUGAUGAAUGGUAUAGGUGAUUUUGAAAAAAAAAUUCCACUCUAAAUUUGACUGAUAUGGCAUGGCAUUCCACGUAGUAAACAAUUUUGCUGAACACUAAAAUUUCCCUUGUGCUUUUAGUCAUGCAAUUUUUUUCGUACAAUCAUUGGAUACUCCAAUGGCAGCUUGAGAGCUCUUUCUUUUUUUCUUUUUCUUUUUUGGGUUUUUGCAGGUCAGCUUGAGUGCAUUUGCCUUCUUGUUUUCAGAACUGGUACAGUACAAUCAGACCCAAGUUGACAAUAUUGCAGAGUUGGAAAGAAGGUUAUAUUACUUAGCUUAUUGAUGACCUAAAAUAUUUGAUUGAGCAUGCAUCACUCAGUUACCUUUUUGUGCUAUUAUCAGUUAGUAUGAAAAGUUUCUUAUGCUUAGAAUGAACUAAUGCCAAUUGGAUGAUUCAUUGCAUGUUAACUGUCUGCUUGCUUAUCAAUUUGUCUCUAAAUUGGCCUUCUGUUAACCUUUCCUGGCGCUUGAUAUUUUAUUUAUUAGUUACGUAUCCUGUCAUACAAAAUUUAAUGUGUUUCUCAUUGGUAUAUAAUUCGUAAUAUAUGUACAGGCUAGAGGAUGCAGGUUAUGCUGUUGGAGCAAGAGUUCUUGAACUUCUCUGCCAUCGAGAAAAGGUGAGUUGAUUAUUUCUUUGUCAAUACAAGUGUUGUUGAUUCUCUUAUAUAUUGAUUUUAUGUAGCCUGUCGGUUUAGUUUUAGUUCACUUCAUAAGAUAAUGAUGCAGUUAGCUUCAUUUAUAAUGCUAACCUGUGAUCAGCUAAAGAGCUAGUGCCUUUCAUUAAACCUGUUAGAGCUGUAUAAAUUGAAAAUAUUUGUGGAUUUUGGGUGAGUUUUGUUCAGCAUUUUAUUGUGUUUUGCAACAUGAAAUAUGGUGUUUUGCACCACUCUAUGUAUCACUUGCAAACAUGAGCUAGCUUGGAAUAGUUUCUGGACACAACCAGAUUUGGAAAAAUGGACCAACUUUUGUCCGUUAUUAUUUCUCAUGAUACCUAGGUCAUUUCCUUUUUCAUGUUUGAUAUAUAAAUGGCAUGCAAUCUUGUAUGGAAGAACUCACUGAGAUGCAUCAUGUCUCACUCAAACAAUACAGGGGAACAGGAGGGAGACUCGAUUAUUGGGGAUUUUAUCCUUCAUUCACAGCACUGUGUGGAAGGUUCUUUUUGGAAAGGUCGUUUAUCUUAUAACAUUUUGUAUUUGGAAAGAUAACUUGUAUCAGAAGCGUUAUGUUACAAACAUUAUUUAGUAGUUAAGAAAUAUUGAUCUCUCUAUGUCAUACUUGUUGAUUUACAUUUAAGAAUGAAAGAAAAUAAAUAUUAGAACCAUCUUUGAGUUCUUUUUUUGAAUUUUUAAUAGUAGGAAUGUUAGUCGUUUUGUACUACAUUGUUUUGGUUUCUUCUUACUGGAAUUACUAUACAACGAAAUAAGUUCUUAGAGAGAUGCAUCAUACCAUAUCUUUCAACUACAUAUUCAUGAUCAUUUUUCUUUUUACAGCGGAUCACUAAAAAGCUGAAUCCUAACAAAUUGAUUUUGAGUAUAUAAAACCCAAUAUUUUCUAUGUAUGGUUGUGAUCAACAUGCUGGCUGAGCUUGUUAAUGCAUACAAUCAUAUGAUUCAUAUGGUGCAAUCACUUUCAAUGAAAUAAGAUCAUUUAUUAUCCGUUGCAUUCUUAUGAUUAAUAUUCAUAAAUACCAUUGAAUGAGCUGUCAACAGACACUUUUUCAUUUUUCACCUUUGUUCCAUAAAUCAAUUCUAUUUAUUCUACUCGUAAAAUCAGCUCACAUACUCUUGACUAUAAUUCGUUCUUAUUGUCUAUAGUUUUGCAUAAAAUAUCUUCUCCCUUAUGCUAUUCUUGUUUUAUUAUCUCACUAGGUGGCUGACUCUCUCGAGAAAGGAACCGAACAUGAAGAUGAAUACAUGAUCAGUGAAAAGGAACUGCUGGUUAAUCGGUAUACAUUGCAACUCUUGAUAAGUUAAAAAUAGUAUUACCUUCCUAAUUCUGAUUAUUGAAUUUUGGCUGGUUUGAAAGAUUUAUAUCUGUACCCAAAGAUAUGGGUGCCUUCAAUUGUGGAGCUUUUGUUGCUGGGAUUGUAAGGGUGAGUGCAAUGUACCGUUCAACCACAUUUAGCUUUUUUGGGAUAAUAUUAGCAUCAACGUUCUUCUUAACAUUUGGCUUUUGUGUAGGGUGUCUUGGAUAGCGCUGGAUUCCCUGCUGUGGUUACAGCACAUUUUGUUCCAAUCGAGGGUCAGCAACGACCGAGAACUACAAUCUUGAUAAAGUUUGCUGAAGAGGUCAGUUAUAUGUAGCGAAUUACAAUUGACUCAUUGAAUUUUAAAAUGUUGAUGUUCUGCUUAUAUUAAGCUUGGAAGCAAGUGACUAGAGUGCACUGAAGAGAAUUCUCUCUUAUAAACAAUUAGGAAAAGCUAUGAUUUUCUUGUUGGCCUCCUUACUCUAAAGUGUAAAAUAUCAGGAGCUGUAACUCAAGCAGAACCUACUUAAAAGGUCAUCGACUUUAAGAUAUUAAACUUUAACAGAGUUAUUCUGAAAACCUAAUUAUGGUAUCACAGAUAUUCUUUUAUGUAUUAGAUGGAGUUUAACAGAGUAUAUUCUGUGGCAGGUACUACGUAGGGAAGCAAGAUUGGGUUGAAGUUUCGGAGAGAUCUUCUCUUUUUACCCUGAAGUCAGAAGAGCUAAUCGCCGGCAAACAAGGCAGAGUAAAAUUGUUUCUGGUGAGUUAAACAUAUUCGAAUGAGUUCUUCAGAUUGGUUUCACUUAUUCUCGAUGAAUUUAAUCUCUAAGCAGCAGCUACUUGUUAGCCGCGUUUCAUUCUCAACAUUUGUGGUUUGUACUGCAAUAUAUCAUAGAUACACCGACUUAUUUCUUUCCCCCUUCUUUGGAGUGAUACACCAGUAAUCUUUUUGUUGAAAUACCUCACCUCAUCUAUCCCUUUUGUAUUACCAGAGUGGAAUUUGUUCAGUGAAUCUUUUGCCAAUGUAUGGUGGAGAAAGCACUGCUUUGACUCUAUUUGUAGUGCAUGCACUUUUAUCACAUUAGUUAUGGGCAUAUCAUGAUUUAUAUGAAUUGCAUGAUUUUGUCUGCAAACCUUUGCCCGGGCCAGACUUACAGGGCCUUUGAUUUUCUUUAAAAGGAAUCAUAAAAAGGGCUUAGUUUCCAUAGUAUUCUGAGGUUGUUAGUUGCGACAUUGUCUUUGUAUUUCCAAUACUUAAAACAGUUUGAUCUCUGGAAUUUGGCAUGUAUUACACUUCAAUCCUUGAUCGUGUCACGUUUUAACUUUCCACCUCACAGAUGACGCGAUAGACCCGGAUUCGGACAACAAUUUCUUCAGUAUAAGGUGCCAGUAUUGUUUUUGUCUAUUUUAGGGCAUUGAACAAAUUUUCGCACCACCUACUUAUACCACUGACAUUACUAUUCGCCUUACUUCCGGGACAAGUGUGAAUGCAAAACUCUCCUCCAUAUUAAAGAAGCCGAGUAUGCUAUUAAAGAGUACCUGCUUGGGUUGGUGCGGAAAUAGUGUCUGGUAGGUGUAGAAAUCGUAGCCGUGUCUCACCUAUCAAUUGAGCAAUACGUCCAAGAAAGAGACUAUUCACUACCAAUCUGAUCCAAAUCUAAUCCGAGUAUUUGAUUCAUGUCUAACCUGGAUAUGUGGUUGCCAAUACUGUGACACCAAAUAUAUUAUUAGGAAAUAUGUAUACUUUGAUUUACAAGAAUUAAUGAUGGAAAAUCUAUCGAGCGCCUUUUUUAAUGUAAUGUAGCAACCAUAUCCACCAAACAUUAUACAGGUAUACUCUGCAAAGCAUUCCAGCAGCUGAAGUUUGUAUGGAGUGGCGGCUGUGUUUUCGGCAUGGCUUGUGAAAUUAUUUCUCUAGUUUGAAAAGUAAUGAAAACAUGCUUAGCGUUUGAUUAUGACUUAUCACGAAAAUAAUGUUUCAAGUUUAAAAAAUAGUAGUUUUAAAGAUGCCCAACGUGCAGCCGCCUGCAAGUGUCACUGUGCGACUUAUGCAAUCACACGAACUAAUCAAUGAAUAAAAAAAUAAAAUCUGUGAUUAUCAAUACAUCAGCUGUCAUUGAUAGAAGAUUUCAAGGAUUUUUUUAUUUUUCUUUUUUAUUUUGGUUGCCUUUAAUAUUUUUCGAGGUUGUAUUGUCUCAACCCCUGUAGUUAAAUUUAUUUGCUAAAUAAAUAAAGCAAAUAAUAUGUUAUUUUAAAAAAAAAGAUUUCAAGGAUGCCAGCAGCAUGUCACGGCCUUAGCGGUUCUGUUUGCAAAGUCCGUGCGCCGCCCGCUUUCCUAUUCGAAGAUGGGUAAGCCUUCGUCCCUAUUGCUAGUCUGGACCUUCGCGUCCUACAACUAAAUAUGCAAAGGGAAUGACAAAGAGAAAGAAGCAGAGGUUCUCUCAAAAAGCUAAGUACUACACUACUUAGAAAAUGAGAAUUCCAACUCACAUACACACUCCCUCUUGUGUUCUUUUGGCCUUAGCCAAACCACACUAUAUAUAGGCCUAAUGAACCUUUUCAAUUCACCCACUAGCCACAUAACUCACCCACUAUUGCCUACAUAAUAAGCCCUCAUAAUGAGCCCUCAUAAUAGCGAAAAGCUCAAGAGUCACCCAUAAUCCAUAACUCUUAUGAGUUUCAUAACCCUUGAGUUUUUCACAGCGGGUUGGGUUUGAGCCUCCUUGACAAUCCGAUUCAACUCGUUUUCAACCCGAACUCGCUAAGCAGAUUUGGGCCACUGUCAAGGAGCAGUCAGCGGAAAUCAUUUUGUCGGUGACAUUCUCCCCCACCUAAUGCGCAGACGCCCUCGUCGCCCGCCGAGUCGCUCCCGGUCCGCAUAGCCUUCCGCGUGGUCCGUCGUGCCUUCCCGUGCGAUCGGCCCCGUGCUUUGUCCGCAUCUGUUCCCGCACCAGCACCUAGUGUCUUGCCCCUCUGAGCAAGUGCACCAGCGAGCCUGCUGUGCGAAGAGUUCGCUGGAUGUGCAUGUCCUCCACGACACGCACGCGCACUCUGCCAAGCUACAGAACGCCCCGAGUGUGCACGUCCUCCGCGACACGCACGCGUACUCCGCCAAGCUGCAGAACGUUUUUUGAUCCUCGCAGGCUCCUUAGCAGAAUGACUUGCACUUUGCUUGGACGCUGGCCACUCCAGCGCCAUAUGAGAUUCGAUAAUCUCGCCGCCGCUCAGGCCCUCCUCCUCGAGGUCCCCGGUCUUCCCGCGCUUCACCUCCUCGCAAAGCUGCAGGGCUGUCAGAGUUAAACUCUCGUUGCACUCUUUUGCGUCCCCUGAAUCGCGGUGCUCUUCCCCACCUUUGGCCUCGCCCGCCUUUGGUGAUUCACCUCGAUCGCCCUCGGUUCGCUCAGGUAGUGCCUCCCUCAUCUUGAGGUCCUCGACCAACUUGACCUGGGUUGAAGCAGCACAUCUCGCACAUCCUGCUCGUCGUUGCGACGGGAAAGAUUCAGCUUGAACUGCUCCAGACGAUGGCGGAAUAUUGCCAUAGCUGCAACAAUAUCCUUCUCCAUCAAAUAAAACCUCUCCUCCAACAUCCCCACAUGUUGGGAUAGGUCGGAAUAGCGCUCCUCCGCGCUCGCAGCAGAGUCCUCCAGUACGCCUACGCGGUCGUCAAGCAAGAUAGACUCUCUCGCCAGAGUCCGCGACUCCUUACUCUUGCCGCGCUUGGUCGCCCUGGGUUCAGGCACAACGUCAACGACGGCAGCUUCCGACGAAGACAUGGUUCCUCCUCGAACCGGCUUUGAUAACAACUGUCAUGGCCUUAGCAAUUCUGUUUGCAAAGUCCGUGUGGCGCCCGCUUUCCUGCUCGAAGAUGGGCAAGCCUUCGUCACUAUUGCUAGCCUGGACCUUCGCGUCCUACGACUAAAUAUGCAAAGGGAAUGACAAAGAGAAAAAGGCAGAGGUUCUCUCAAAAAACUAAAUACUACACUACUUAGAAAAUGAGAAUUACAACUCACAUACACACUCCCUCUUGUGUCCUUUUGGUUUUAGCCAAACCACACUAUAUAUAGGCCUAAUGAGCCUUUUCAACUCACCCACUAGCCACAUAACUCAUCCACUAUUACCUACAUAAUGAGCCCUCAAAAUAGCCAAAAGCUCAAGAGUCGCCCAUAACUCAUAACUCCUAUGAGUUUCAUAACCCUUGAGUUUUCCACAGCGGGUUGGGUUUGGGUCUCCUUGACAAUCCUAUUCAACCUGUUUUCAACCUGAAUUCGCUAAGCAGAUUUGGGCCACUGUCAAGGAGAAGUCAACGGGAAACAUUUUGUCCGUGACCAGCAGCACUCUUUGGCAGGGCAGCACAUGCGAGUCGAUCCUCCGGAUGAGUCCGGCGAGAUUAGAUCAAGAAUCGUCUUCUCGGUUGAAGCAACACCAUUCACGCACUUGGGAGCACACGGAAUCGAAGGUACACAAUUUGCACGAAAAUAAACGAGGCUAAUUAGACUAAAAGAGUAGGUAGGUUUGUACCCUUUUGAUUCCCUUAUGUCCGUAUUAGAGCAAGAACAUUUCACAACCUGGAGGUCUGUGACUGCACAGCAACUAUGAAAUUAGUUUUUUUUUUUUUCCUUGGGGAAGAGAGAGAGAGAGAGAGAGAGAGAGAGAGAGAGAGAUAAAGGGUACAAUAAUUGGUGAAGAUUCUGGAGGUUGGAGAUGAAUUAUUGCCUGGAACUGCUCUACCAUGCCGACUAAUCAUGCGAGUAAAAUUUGGAUGUGUGAAAAUUUUAUAGAUGGAAACCACAGAAGGAAUCAACAUGGUGCACGUUUUAUCAUCUACUAAAUAGGACAUUUAAACAGAAUCCUUAAUUUGAAAUAUAGUUGGUACAAACUGUCCUAUUUUUAUCUCUUCUCGAUAAAAAUGUAUGCAGACCCUGUCAAUCGUACUUCCAUCUUUUGAAACGGCCCUUUAACUUUAUAUUUCUUUAAUGAUUUUUUUAAAAAAAUUAAUUUUCUUUUAAACUGAGUAAUCAUGUGAUUUAUUAAAUAUUGUUUUUUUCUUUUUGUAAUUCCAUCAAAAAUAGACUUUUCUCCCUUCAAUUACGGCUGAUUGAUUCACACAAGGUUAGGAGGUUGGUGAAUCGCCGGUUCGGCAGAAGUGCCAGCUAUGUUUCCAGUUAGGUAGCAUAUUUGAUGCUGGACUCCAAAAAUUCAAGUGAUUCAUAGAGUUGUAUCUUAAUUAGAGUGAUUUGUUCUUUUAUUGCUAGCUUGAAAUGUACACAUCUCCUCAACUGGAUAGUAAUAUAUUGCUAAUAUCUCGCGUUGUUACCACCACCCCUCAAUCAUUACACAAAUAUAAAAAGAAAUAACAGGGGAGAUCAUUUGUCUGAAUAUAAUCAUCAAAAUAUGUCACAGUAUUACAUGGCACGAAACGGCACGGCACGGCACAACAAAUAUUGAUUUACAUUACACGAUAGGUUAGCUAGUCAUAGUUAACACUCUUAAUUAGAGCACCAAUAAUUAAGUUUAACUGUAAACACUAAGAUGAAACGAUUUGGCUUAGGAAAAAAAAAAAAAACAUGAAUAUCAAGGUAAAUAUUUGCACAAUGCUUUCCUCCUUGCUUUGCCAAUUAAUACAAAUAAGAACAGUAUCUGUAACACAACUGCAACAAACGAAACAAUAAAACCAAUCGAUCAGACUCUUCAGUUUCUAUUAGUACGUAUGAAACUACGAACACGCAUUCUCUGAUUCAUAGAGAGGAUUUAACUGUAUGAUAAUUGUUUUACAUGCUAUUAAAUUAAACGAAAAAAUGAAUGAUUUUUCAUACUUGCACAAUCAAACAUCCAAAAGGGAAUUAGAUCAAGAAAGUUAGGAUCGGCCGCGGGAAAGGGUGUAGCUGUUGAGCCUCCGGCCGAUGCUGUUUAUCGCCGGAUUGAACCUCAGAUAGCCGAAGAGGCUGUUCCGGUGGAAGGGCAGCGGCGUCUUCUUCUUCAUCUCCUCCGACGCCGCUCGGUUCGCGGUGUAAUGCGUCUCAUGCACGGCGGCCAUCGAGCCUUUCCCACCUUUCGACGUCAUAGCGCCGGUUUCGUUGUUCUUUUUUACUUUCGAUGGCGACGUAAAUGACGACGACGAAGAGGAAGAGGAGGAGGAGGAAGAAGGAAGUAAAGUAUACUUGCGUAGGGGAUCUUUGCUUCCUCUUCCGAUCACGCGCCCAUCGGACGCGCUUCGGAAGAGGAAGAAGUCCUUGAGACUCCACUUCUUACUCCCACAACCUCUUAUCAAAGAGGCCGAGGAAGGGGCGGCGGAGUUUUGCGACCUCUCGAACUCCCCGUCGCCUCCUCUCAACGGAGAGAGGGACCGCGCCGCCCUCCGGCCUCUUGAAUAGCCCUCGGCGGUCGAGGCGGGCGCUCUCCCUCUCCCUCUCUCACCUGCCGAGGCUGUUUCUGAGCUGUUUCCUAGCAGAUUGAUCUUUUGGAUAGCAUCAGCAACCAUCCCUUUUCCUCGCCCUUGUUGUGACUCACAUCCGUCGCUACUCUUCGUAGACGAUUGUCGUAGAGAAGAAUUCAACGGGCGAAUCUUGCCCCCCUCGAAGAGCUCGUCGGCAGCCGCGGGGGCCUCCCCCUCGACCUCUCCGGAGAAUUCGAAAGCAAAGUCGAAGGCAUCGGCUUCGGGCUUCUUCUCCCAGUUGAAGGAGGAUCCGCGGGGGCUCGCGGGGGCGCUUAGGAAGUAGUAGUGCUCCGACGGGUUACCGAAGGGCUUCGGGCUCGCCGGCGCACUUGUGUAGAGAGAAUUUGAAGGGAAGUAGAAGUCAUGGGAGGGUGAUAUUGGCAUCACCACCUCCAUUGGUUUCUCCCUCUCUCCCUCUUCUCUCUUAUCUUGCUUUGAAGCUUGUAUUGGCUUCAAUUAUUAGAAUCUCAGAUAGAAGAGGAGGAGCAAAUUGGAUUGCUUGAGGAAGGGGCUCUUUUAUAAGUUUGAAAAACAUUGAUUGGCUUCAUGGCUUAGCUCACAAGAAGGUUGCAGGAAGCUGUGAGUGGUUUGCUGAUGUGAUGCAAACAUGUGUUGCUGCAAUUUGCUACUGCCUGGGUAGGUGGCAUUAGCCUAUUGGUUAUCUUAAUUUAGCUGCCUAAUUUUUAAAUUUUGAUUUUACAAGUUUGAUUUGAGUUAUUCUACCGCGAUACUUUAACUUCAAAUUUUGAAUACAUAGUUUAUCUUUAUGGAUUUAUUUAGUAUAUUUUUAUAUAAGUCUCGCAACUAUUAAUUUAUUAAAAUAAAUAAUUAGGUUAAAAUUCCAAAAUCAAAACACUGUUGAUUAUUGAUUUAGGUCAUACAAAUUGAAAGAGUAGAUAAUAAAAUUAAAAAUCUUGAAAGUUUGAAAAGUCACUUCAAAGUUAUCGACAGUUCAAAUAAAUUACAUACGUUUUUAUCUAAAAUUAUUUUAUAAAAAAAAUUAUGUAAGUUGUAGAGUGAUUGGAAAAGUAUUAAUCACUUUAAUCUGAAAGUAAGCAUAUAUAGCGCUGUUUUUAUAUAACAUAUUUAUAUUUAACCCAAGUUCGAAUUCUAGUUGAUUCAUAUUUUUAGCUAAGUUUAUUUUUAAAUGAAAUANAAAAAAAAAAAAAAAAAAAAAAAAAAAAAAAAAAAAAAAAAAAAAAACUUAUCUUUAACCUUAAAAAAAAAAAUCUAUAAUAAACAUCAUUAACCGACUAAAAAUUGCUAAAUAGUUUGGUCGCACGGAAUUUGUAUGACCAAGAAGUGAGGAACGAAAAAAAGGAAAUACCUGUCCAAAAAGAGAAGAAAAAUGAAAGGAUAAAUUAUAGCCGCCCCAAGAUUUAUUAGAUUUUUCUUAUUAUUAUUAUAUAUUUUAAUCGUGCAACAAAAUUUUCGUUGUCAAAUGCCGUUAGUUGUGAAUGACUCAAUUGAUUAAAUGAGCAUCACGUGGGAUAUUCAGGGAGUAGCUCCAUUAUCCUGCGUGACACCUCACAUGCGAGACAAUAUUCGUACUCCAAAUGUAAAUAUAUGAUAUGAUGUCACAUAUUUAUUUUUCUCUUAUAAAGUCGUAUUCUUUGCGUAAAAAUUUGACUAAGUGGGGUGUUUUAAUUCCGAGGGUUAUCUCUUCUAAAAGGUUUCUAGAACAACGAGAAUGUAAGCUUCUGAUAUUUUUAUUAAGCUCUUUUAUCAUUUUUUAUGGUAAUUAUAAAGGAGAAAUUUCAUAGAUUCAAUAAUUUAGUAUAAUUUCAUUCUUUUUGCUAAAAUUUGAAGGUUCAUUAACGACCACUAGCUAUUCUGAUUGUAGAUCUAAGGGAUCGUGAUUAUAAGCUAGUUACGUUUUGCGCAGUACAAUAGUGAAAAAUAUGAUUAAAUAAUAUAUUACUGGUCUUCGUACAUAAUAUUAUAUUUCGCAUAUUGUAACGAGUCUGAAUUUGCAGAGCCGUAUUUGAUGGUUGUACGUAGAGGUUUUUAGGAUGGAGCCUAUAAGGAAGCUAAAAGAAAUAAAAGUUUAUUAAAAAAAAAAGAAAAUUCAAGCUGGGACAUGUGAGCAAUAAAAUAGAAAUAGUUCUGGGCCAUACCCCCCAUAAUAUUAGAACCGAGCCCUCGUAAUUGUGGUCGAAGCCCAAGCGUCCCUAUGACCAAAUAAGUGGUAAAGCCUUAUACAUUAUGGAUAUAAGCCAUUAGCCCAAUAAUUAGGCUAAUGGGCCUAACCUGAAGCCCGUUUGGUGCAAGAUCUCGUGGUUUGACCAAGUCAAAGUCGGCUGCGUAAGAGUCUCGCCGCCGACUUCAUGUACGUUCAAGAAUUUGUGCUACUUAUAUGAAGUCGGUAAACGGCCGUUUCUCACCACCAUUUUGGCCACUUUUAAAUGUGGGUAGAAGGAGCUACGACGGCACUGAUUUCAUUGUAAAAAAAAAAAAAAAAAAAAAACUCUUUUUAUAGCGGAGUGAACACAGAGAGACAGAGUCGCCAAGAUAGGACAAAAGAGCAUUUUUUACUCUACUUUCGAGACUUUUUUUUUUAUUCAUUAAAGAAUUUGCAAAAGAAAGUUGACGUAAAACUACAAAAGCAAUAUAAGUUUAAAGUCGGAAUUUGAGACCAUUCCUGAAUUUUUUUUUUUUUUUUGAGGAAAGGUAGCAUGCUACCGCUUCAUUCAUUUAGAAAAUAAACUGAGCUACAAGCUGAAGCAACAAGACCUCAAGGAUAAAAGUAAACAUGAAAAGUAAACAUGAAAAUGCAGCUAAAGAUAAAACAAAAAGAGAGGAAACUAUAGGAAUAUCUAAAGGACUAUAAAAAGAAAGAAGAUAAGAAAACUAGCAAAAAAGGUUCCAGGUUUUCCUGAGUGCGCUGAUCUCGGACACAAGUAAACCCAACGAACGUUUGGAAUUCUGAAAAAUUCUUCUAUUGCGUUCCAGCCAAACUACCCACCAAGUUGUGGCGAUCGUCGCUAACUCCUUUUCCCCGAGCGUUGCCCCUUUUCUUUUGCUUGAUUCCCAAAGCAGUGUAGUAGAAAAGCAAUUACGCAUGACAGAUUUAUUUGGAAGUAAACCCACGAGAAGCGCUUUGAUGCCAUCACAUCCCAUGAAGAGGUGAUCGAUGGUUUCAACCUCGUUCAAACAGAACACACAAGACUCCUCGCCACUCCACCCGUGUUUCAACAGGUUGUCUACAGUGAGCACCUUUCUUCUAAUUAAGGACUAAUCAUACGAAAAUCUUCACUUUUAGAGGAGAUUUAAGUUUCCAAAGUCGAGCGAAGCUCCUAUCUUUUACACCACCGUUUUGCAGAAAAUCGUAAAGUGAUUUAACUGUAAACUCUUCCGACCAGGUCCAUCUCCACCUUACUACAUCUCUUUCAUUGGUCGGGGAAAUCGUGGAUAACGCCUCCUUUAGUUGCAGCCCAAAAUUCCUGAAUUAUUGUUAUCGAGUACAAGUAAUUAACAUAGAAGAUUACUUUUCUAUAAGAAUACAAAUUCAUUAGAAAGCCAUAAUUAAGUUCAGUUCUACGUACAUUUCGUUGUGGAAACAUCUUUUUUCUUUUUCAGUUUGGAGAAAAUAUUUGCUGAUAAUCCAAGUUUGUCACCAGGGUUAACAAUUUAUAUUCUGAGGGAAAAAAAUGGUUGACUAACCCUUAUUUAUUAAAUUUCAUUAGAGACCCCACCUAUUGUAUAUAUGGUUAUUGAGAACCAAAAAUUGAGAUCCCUUAAUGCUUAUUAAUAGUAUCAUAUCCUAGUAAAAAUAAUGUAGUCCCUUUCCCUAAUGAUACAAUCUUUCUCUUUAAAUUAAUUAAGACUGCACCUAUACAUUAUUUAUCAUAUUUGUCCAUUAAUUAGCCUUAAAACUACUCGGAUUUUUAUGGUUCCGUACCCCCACUAUCUUCUUUGAUAAUACAAAAUGUUUAAAGAGAAAAAUGGUAGGUAAAUUGCUAAUACAAAAUAAAACUACGAGCCUCACUAAUCGCCUAUUAUAAGUUUUAUAUACCCUGACCUAUGGGCAUCUUUGAAAAGAGAACAAAGAAAAAAGAACAAAUAGUACUAAUUGUAUACCCAACUUGCAUAUGGGUCCUAUUUAUACAUUUUUUUUCUUUUUUUAUAGUUCCUAGACUGGCAACUUGGAUUCAGUUUCCUGUUAGUGCUCAAUAGCAGAAUUCGCUUUGUUAACUAAAAACUGUACCUAGAUGCCAAUAAUUCGAGCUUAACAAUUGAGAAAAAUAGCUAGUUUGUUAAUUCCGUGUUGCGUCAUUCAAAAGUUGCUAAGUUUGUGUCACACUGAUUUGCAUGCUUUUAUUAAAUUAUCUAUUUCUAUGAAAGCCACAUAUCAACUCCUAAUUCUUGUUCAUGGUGAAGUUGUUAAUUAACUUCCUCUACAGUAUAAUUGACUGUACUUAAUUAGUAUAGUUGGCUAACAACUUGAUAGUUAAUUUUUGAGCUCUCAAGCUUUAACUGAGCAGGGCGAAGCUUUUCCCCUCCAAGCACACAUGCACUUAUGAAAGAAAAAAAAUAUAUAUUAUAUAAUUUGGUUACUUUUCAAAAAAUGAAAUUAAGUUGAUUGGGGUGGUUAAUACGCAAACAAUGUAGUGUAAAGAGUCAACAAAAGGAGCCCACCUCCUCCACACUAUAUAUGCUUGCGCCCCAACAGUUGUUGUGGGCAUGUUUAUGCAUGCUUAUAAGUAUUUUAUUCCAUUUUUUUCGGAGAUAAUAUUCUUAUAUUUUCCAUGAAAAGCAAGAGAGAAGGACAAUGAUGAGCUCGAAAGUGAUUUAAACUAAUGUUACAUCACUAAAAAGAAAGUGAUUCGCGAUGGGUCCAUUCGAUUAAAGCUAUUGAGAAAAGGUACUCCGGGGGAGUUACACUCCGCAAGUGCAGGAACUUAAUUUCCUACAUACAUAUCGAUAUGGAAAGUCUCCUUGUAUAUAUAGAGACGUACUAUUUAAUUAGUCGGCUAUUAUACUUUAAGAUUCGUAUAUUGUAUAUGAUGAAUGAUUAAUCGAUCAGACUCUGUAAUAGCUUAAUUUGUAAUUAACUAGCUAGGCUAAUAUUGGAAUCAAUUUGCUACGUACUGCUUUUCUAAUUAUAAGAUGUACGGUUUAGUAGGAUUAAUAAUGCAGAACAUAAUAUCUUAGAAUACACAAUUUAUAAUUAAAAUUAAUCUGUUGAUGAUCAGAUGGCAUCGUAAUAUGUAUAAUUAUUAAUAUUAAUAAAGAAAUGCUAUGUAUGUCUAUACUCCACCAUCUAAUGUCGCCUUAGGUUUGCUCUUUUUUUUUGGUUUAGUAAAACGAAAAAAAGAAAGAAAGUGAUAACACUAGUGGAAAAAUAUGAUUUUUGAAUGAGAGUGUUGUAGGAUUAUAACUCAUUUUGGAUUGUAAACCUAGCUAACAUUACGUACGUAUAUUAAUGUUAAGCAAAUACAUAUUAUUAAAUAUGCAAAAGAAAUUAAUCCAUUACAUAUGAAGUACAUGAUCAAGGGGGAGCAUGCAACUGAUAAUCUCUACAAAUAAAAAUUACAACACUUCAUGCACAACUUAGUGGCAAUACUCUCUCUAAUACCAAAGAGUUUUUUUUUUUUUUUUUCUCUAACCCUAAACACCAAAGAGUUAAGACGUAAGUAUAUAGAGAUAUGUUUCUUGUUCUCUCAUGGGAUUAUAGAAAUUAUAUCUUAAUCGAAGUAUAUAUAUUGUCGGAUUUACACAACUUAUUAUUACUGAUAAAACUAAAUAAGAUAUUUUUGUAUCGUACCUUCUGACAACAUGCUUUGUUACGAAAGAAGGCAUGCGCACAUACAUACAUAGAAAGAUCAUAAAUUCAUAUUAGAAUCACAUUAAUUUACAUGUGAUAAUACGAAUGAAUUGCCAAGCAUAGACAUUUUGAAUUAAUGGAUCAUACAUAGUGUAAUCCAACUACAAUAAGGAUGAACGGGAUCACCACCACAAGUUAAUUUGUGUACAUCAAAUGACCAAAUGUGACCUCGAUCCCUGUACAUCUAACUAACUAACUAGCCUAUAAGUUUCUCUCUUUGUUUUUCAUCAACAAGCAUAUGCCCUACGCCGGGGCUAUGUCCCGGUGCCGUAGGCCGAAUAUCAUCAACCGCCACCAUCGGUUUCGCGCUACGCACUUCUUCGGAUACCGAAACUGCGCCGUGCCGCACCAUUCCUUUUGUAGCUUCACCCCCUUGAAAUAGUUCUCUUCUUUGCGUGCUAGUGUGUUCUUUCAAAGGCCUUCCUUGAGAAGCUAAUAUUUGAGUAGCAAGAACAAGAAGAAUAAGGAAUGCAAUAGUUCUAAGGCACUUCUUAGUGGCCAUGAGAGAGAAACCUAGAGAGAGAGAGUGAGUGUGUGUUUGAAGGAAUAUUUGACUAAGGAAGAUACUUCCUCUCCCUCCUCUUCAUUACUAUUUAUAGAGAUUCAGAGUUUUCAAGUAAAGAUCGUACUAACAAAGUAAAGAUAAAAGUUUUAGUCUUAACUGUUGAUCACUUUCUUUUUAUUCUAAUUCCAAAUCUCUUCCUUUUAAGGAAUAAUGAAUGGCUAAGACCGAGCCUUUGAGUUUAUGUGUAUAUUAUAAGCGAAAAAUAAAUAAUUUACAUAAGGAUAGUGUGCCAACUCCUAGUGACUAGCAAAGGCCACUUAAUCACUUAAUAAGGAAAAUAAUAUCAUGAAGGGCAUAUGACUUUUUUCUUUGCAUGGCCCAUGCACGCUAACUACAUUCCACUACUUCCCUAUUGCUACGAUGGUUCUUUAAUUUUGUGAGCACUCACAAUGCUUGUAAAAAAGUUGCAACGAGAUCUCGCUGAGGACUUCUUCAACGAAGUAAAAGUUGCAUAGGGAAAGAACAUCCCUCAAGCACCUAUGCUUUAUUUAUUAAUUAUUAUUUUUUUGGGAUAACUUUCAUUUUGGCCCCAUGUUAUUUAGUGCAUUUUUACUUUGUAAUUUUAUAGUUCAAAAAGUUGUAAUUAGCUACUCUGUGAUUUUCUUUUUGUUUUACCAAGAAAACUUGCCAUCUAGUAGAGUAGUAAAAUAUUUCUUUAAAGACAACCACAGGUUGCUAUGCUGUUUAAUGAUAGAUAUUUACAGUAAAAUGAAAAUAAAAUUACAAAAUAAUAAAGUAUAACUUUCUAAACCGCAAAGCGACUAAGUGAAAACAUAUUAAACUAUCAAAUAGUUAAGUAAUUUUUUUAACCACACAGUAAUAAAGUAAAAAAUAUGGUAAAUCACAUUAGAUUAAAUUAAAGCUCUUCAAUAAAAUUGAAGUUGCAUAUGUAGAAAAAGAACAUACCCCAAGCAUCUAUGUACACUUAUUUUUUCCUAUCUAAAUUAAUUACAUAUCAAAUUAAUAUAGAAAUUAAACUAAGAACCUUUUGAAAUAAAGGACUUAAUUAAUUAUACUUCCUCUGAUAUGAUAUUACCUAUAAAAUCAAUGUAAUAGAAAAUGAUAUAGGAUUAGUUUUAAUAAUCUGAAGCUCAACUAAUGUUUAAUGUUGAAGUACAAGUUGGCUAAUUAUAGCCUAGAACACUCGCUGCACUUAAACCAAAGAGAUAGGAUUCCCCAACACUUCCCCACUAACCUCAGAUACAUUUUUAAGUUGGGUUUUAUUUGGACGGUUCCAGCUGCAGGCAACUUUGCACCGCUAUACCUGUUUAUCUUAAAGCUGCUAUGUACAUAAAGCUACUUUAAUUCACUUUAAGAUACUCCCCUUUUUUGUUUUUUUAAAAAAAAGAAAACAAAAAUUUAUGGAUGCAACGGAGAUAUUAAUAUGUCAUUGUACUCUCGUCCAGUUCAUUAGAUCAUUAGACAAAGGAAUGUACGGUUAGAAUAAUAAUAGUCACCUAGAAUUUAGUUGGUGGUUUGUGGGAUAAUACCAUUGAAUGGACGCAAGCGGUCAACGGGGUAGAUCUAGUAGAGGAAAAUUUGAUUACACAAGAUGCUUGGUGUUAUUGAUAACAUAAUAGCCGGACUCUAUAUAUAGAAUUAAACUAAAAUACUAUUAGUGGCACUAAGUUAUUGGUGUUACUAAUGGGUGUUUGAUAGAAUAAUAUGAUGUAAAGGAUGAAAAAAAUCAAAAGGAUAGAUCUAACAGUAAAACUUGAUAACAUCAAGUGCUUAGUGCUUUUUAUAGUAUAGUAACUAGACUCUCUCUCUCUCUCUCUCUCUCUCUCUCUCUCUCUAUAUAUAUAUAUAUAGAAUUGGGCUGGAAUACUAUUAUUUGUAUUUUCACACUUUGUUACCAAUUUUUUAACCAUUGGAUGAAAAAUUGUAGGACUAGAAUGAUACUGGUCCUUUAGGAUUUAAUGGUGGUCCGUCUAGGGUUGAGUGGAUAGUUGGUUGAAUAGUAUGAUCUAAAAGAUAGAAUUAAUUAAAGUGUAAAUUUUACAGCUAAAAAGUCAAUAGUAAAAAAAAAUCUAAAUACUAUUAAUAGUAUUCCAACUCAACUCUAUAUAUAUUAUAUAUAUAACUAGGCUAGAAUACUUUUUUUUGAGAAAAAGGUAGCACGUUACCAGCUUUAUUCAUUUAGUGGAUGAAUUUAGUCACAUAAAGUAAAGCAGUAAGGCCACAUAGAAGAGGGAAAGCAAUAGAAAAGUGGUCAAAAAAAACAAGCAAAAAAUAAAAAGAAAAGAAGAAGAAAGAAAAAGGUAUAGUACAUCGAAAUGAAGAGAUGUGCAGUUAGAAUGAUAGUGGUUCUCUAGUAUUUAGUCCAUGGUUGGUGGAAUAGCAUGUUUUAACCGGUGAAAAUGAUCAAAGAGAAAGAUUUAGCAAUAAAAAAUUUGAUAGCACUGAGUAUUUGGUACUAUUAAUAACAUUAAGUCUAACGAAGUCGAUCAUCAAUUUGACGGUCGCAUAAUUAAAAACAACUUGAUAGCACGGAGGCCUUCGUGCUACUGAUAGCAUAGCAGCCGAACUCUCUCUUUCUCUCUCUCCUCUCUCUCUCUCUCUAUAUAUACCAUCGGAUUUCAAUACGAUCUAAUAUCAACCAUUAAAAAUUAUUGAAUUUGAAUGCUUUCAAUCACUAGAUAAAUAAUAUAAAAAAAUCGCAAAAAUUAUUUUCUAGAAACUUCAAAUACUCUAGAUUAAGUCUAACGGAGUCAAUCGUCGAUUCGAAAAUUUCAUCAUCGAAAACGGCUCAGGAGCACGGAGGCCUCUAUACUCCUGAGAGUACAGCAACCCUGCUAUAUAUAUAUAUAUAUAUAAUUUUGCUAACAAAUAUAUAUAUAUAUAUAUAUAUAUAUAUAUAUAUAUAUAUAUAUAUAUAUAUAAUUUUGCUAACAAAUAAAUAGUUUUCUUGAAGGCAUAAGUUAUUAUUAGAUAAUACAAGCAGAUUUUGCAAGAAGAAGACUCAAACACAUGCGAGCAUGACGUGCUGUCCUAAUACCAUGUGAAAUAUUUAAUUAAGCUGUACACUAUACUUUUCAUAUUCUAAUGACCAAGUCCCAUUUGGUUCUUCAUGUAAAGUUUUGAAAAGGCAUUACGAGCAUAUUAAAUACGAACUCAUCCUACGACAAAUUAAUUACUCCGCAUCCUUUUAUUUAUUAUAUACUUGUUUUUUUGAAUCUGCGGCUCCAAGGCAAUUGUUGGCUGCGUAUUUGCCUUUUUAACUGUAAACAGCUAUGCAUGCAGCUGCUAGUAAGAAUGUAGGAUCUUAGUAACAAAUUUGAGAGUAUUGUAUCUAGCAAAGAGAAUCCCCUCACAUGAGGAAGUGUUCAAAGAAUAUAUAUACAAUUCGACCGAGCCGCAGAAUCUUAGAAAGGAGAGGGUUAUACUUCGGAAUCUGCCGAUCGUUUGGGGCGUGCACAUGGUUCUGCGUCGAGGGAUUCACAUGACGCGCAGUUAUCGAAAGUGCGAGUCGCAGUUGUUUAAGUGUUAGACUGCUAGAUUACUUACUGAUCAAGUAGGUUUCGACUUUCGAGCUGUGUUCUUGCGCGGCUCUUCCAGAGUCUUUGGGGCGCAUUCCAGCUUUUCUUUGCAGGUCCUCGACAAACUUAGUUGUCUCGCUUGUUGAAUGUAAUACUAUAUUCUCUCUAUCUCUGGUGAAUGAAACUGAACGAGUUCGAUGAAUUUGGUCUCGUUUGCGGUGUAAAAAGCGUCUGAAUUCAAUGUAUCUCUAUGUUACCUUCUCGAAGCACCAAAGGUCCGAAACACCGCCUAUUAGAUAUCCAAGUUUUACUACAAAGGAGAACUUCAGGACUAACGAAAGAAAGCAACUUCCUUUUCUUCUUAGUUUCUUCUGUGUUCCUGUGCCCAUAGCUGCAGUUCUGAGCUUUUGCAGAACAUGUUUGGUGAGCUCUGAUCGGAUAUCGAUCUCGAAUCCGUGUGAGGUGGAUACAACGAGAUCUCCAUCUCCACCAGCCAUAUACCUUGCGCGCAGAAGUUGGUGUUGGCUUAAAGAGACCAAUAUUCUGUCCUGUGGCGGAAGGCCAGAUUGGCCCGAAUAACGUUCGAAAUGGCAAGAGAUAAAAUUGGACCUAACCAUAUUCGAAGUAGCGAAAGACUUGUUAUGCCGAGUCACAGGCGAAACUCGUGGGCGCUGUGCCUAUACGCUUAAGUGAAUUGAUUGUAUAAUAACUUGAGCUUUUGAAAUUAAUAGUUAGCGCCAACAAUCUGAUAGUUGGCUCUUCGUCUGGCUGUCUAAAACGACGGAGCCCAGAAAGCAGAGUUUGCCGAGCUAGCUAGCUCUGCACAAGAACUUUCUGCGGCCCAAAACACCCUUUUUUUCUGUUUGCUGCACACUUCAGCAGUAGCCCUCAGCUUUCUAUCUGUUUACUUUUCGCCAACUGGGUUGGUUCAUUUGAGGACAAGAAUCUUCUUUCCUUUUGAUUUUAAACUUCGAAGACAAAUGGUUUUUAAAUUUGAAUGAAGCUAAGUUAAUUCAUAGAGUAAUUAUUUUAGAAAGAAUGAUCAUGGGCCUUCUUUUGGUCCUUUUAGUUCUUGGUUGCUCACUUUCAGAUUCUUUCAAAUCAUUCAGGUUCAAGUUUUUCCUAUUUUAGAUGAUUCUGUAUUUCAUACUUCAUGUGCUACAAGAAAAAUAUGAGCAGCGAAAACACACAGUUGAUUUCAAAAAUGAAAAUUUCGCACACUAAUUCUAUUAAGGGUAACAAAAUACAGUUGGAGCUCAGCAGAGAGAGUUGUUGUCAAGGAAAACCUCUGCAGUAAUCAACUUUCACACGAAAAAAGGAAAAAAAAAAAAAUCGAGGAAAUGAAACUCUAUGUACAUCAACAUUACAAAACAGUCUCAAUUCUACAUACUAUAAUCAGAAUUCAAGAAGCUCUCGUAUCGUGUGCCGUUAAGAACGUUGUAGACUUCGUCCCAGUUCUCGAUUUGCUCUGCUAACGGCUUCCUGUGUAUCUUUACAUGUCGGCUAAAUAACUUCCUCUCAGGCAUUCCCAUGAAAUUGAGCACAUCCAUGAGCAUCUGCACCAAAAAAAAAGGAUGAAUUUAACGGCAACGAUCGAUAGAGACACUCAUCCAAUCUAAGUUGUAGGGAAGCUUACUGUUUGAUUAUUAAUGAGAUCCUCGUAGAAAAUUACGAUGUGAGAGAUGGUCUUUAAGCUUUCAAUAGCGUUCGCCACGUACUCUUCAGCUUGUUUAAGUCUCGGAAUCAACGACGUAGCAUUGAGUUUGGGCUUGUAUCUGGCAAGCACAUCAGCCUGCAAAAUAGUAGAUAUUGAAGUACAGGAUCUUCCGAGAAUUAACUAGACCGAUUUGGGGUUGUGAAGAGAAACAAGACCUCAUCUUUGGAGUGUACAUGAGCUUUAUGCGUCCCGUUUAACUGUUUAAGAUCUCGGUCGUGGUUGUUCGCAAGCAGCGAGACCAACUGGCGAAGUAGGUUUCUUCUGAAUAGAAAUAUUGCAGAGAUGUGUCUACGGCUAAAGUAGGCAACUACUUCUUCAUGGUUCUCGAUAAGACCCUGAGAUAUCAAUGGAGCAUACACGUGGAAUGCGGCCAUAAGCUUUCAACAUGAGAGAGCUUUCACGAAUUGCAAAUACAGAUGAAAUAGGUGAUCAACAUAGUGGUAAGGAAAAGAGUAACAAAUUCAAGUCUCAUUUGAAACUACUUAUCAAAGAAGAUCGCAGGUUGAGACACAGAACAAGAUAAUGAGCAACUUUAUUAUUUAAGUACUUGUUACACCAGAAUUGAAUUAAUAAUAGUCGUGACAACUGCAAGCAUGCAAUUCCUAUUUCUAAAGCCCAUUCAUUUUGAGGAUUCGAUGUUGAAAUCAAUUGUUAGUAUACAAGACUUCUCUAGCAAAACCUAGAGACAUUCAUGCACUACGUAUUCUUUCUUAAGUUGUAGUAUCUACACUGCCACCCAUGAUAUCAGCUAAAACGCAUUGAUUGCACGGAAUUUGAUGUUUGAUAUUUGAUAUUUGAUAUUGAAAUGCUAUAUAAAAGCCUUGUUUGCAACGGUGAAAAAAUAGUAGGACAGAAGUUCAUUCUCCGACAAACCUGAUUAAGCAUCCACUUGAAGCCAACUGCAGCUGUGCAUUCAUUUUUCGCAGCACUGCUGUACCAAUCCAGAUUGUAAACUUUAUCCAGCGUUUGUAUUAUAGAAGAUAUGUUACUUCUCCUUUCUUUGGCAGAAAAAAUCUCCCCGUUCGAGCUGAUGUUAAUAUGACUGUUCAAAAGAGUCUCGAACCACCCGCUUCCAGAUCGCUGUGUCGAAAGUAUAGCAAAGAACCGAACUGGCGUGCAUGCACAUUCACCCCUACAAGCUAGAAUGGUUGUUAGGCAAUUAUCCAAAUAUUCUUUUAAACCAAAAAAAAGAGAAUAUGGUUUCUUCAUAGCACAAUUCUCAACUUCUAGGAAUAGUAGAAUGAUGCACAAUUUUCAAUAAUCAAUGCAAAGUCCCAAAAUUAUGCAACUGUAGCUCAAAAAUGCGUAACAUGGUAGUUGAAAAUUGUGUCGAAGUUUCUAAAACAAAAAAUUUAAUCCCUUUUUUUUGCAAAUUGAAAAGGACUUUCCUUCUCUUUUUCUGCAUAAAAGGGCCUAGCAAAGAAAGAGUACAACUUAUACUGUUAUAAACAUUCCCUUUACCUGCUGUAAGUUGUCGGUUCUGGGUAGUGUAGAUGAGUAUUCUCGAAUUGCGAAAAACUAGCUCUACGACAAGAGUGCGUUGUUCGCUCAAUCUUAAUCAUUCUGGGAAUGGUGUUGUUUCCUAUUUGCUUCAGGCACACCGAGCAUAUGUAAACCCCACAAAUCAUAGCUACACCUAAAACGAUCAUCCUCAAUGCGAGUGGUGAUUUCUUCGGAGGCUUUACAAUAAGUAUGUCCUGUAAGAGGUGAAAAUAAGUAUUUAAACCCUGUGUAGUAAUAAUCCAAUGGUUAUUCUAAACAGUAUCCAUUUAAUUGACUUAAAAUUUACUCUACAGUCAUUAAAAAAAAGAAAAGCCCGAAGUUAUUAAAACGAUGAACUAUCCCUACAAUUUAACAUCGAACUUACUUACGGAUAAUUAUCAAUUUCGUGUUGAUACUGAGUACAGUACUUCCCUCGCAUCUGAGCUAGGCAUGUUGAAGACCCAGGUCGCGAAUUUGGAAAUAAACAUGUGGAUUUUUUGAUAUUAAAUGAUUCAUUUGGUGCCUAAUUCAAUGCAUCCUACUGUGGAAACCAUACAAGGUACUUGUUUCAAUAGAACAGUGAGAUCAUAUUUAACACAUUACGAAAACCCCAGGUUCCAAUCAUUCCACUACUCUUUCCUAACAACAUCUUCUGAUGUGUAAUUUAGCUGCGAAAAUUUACAGCAUGGAAGUUUGGGUAGAACUAUUUCAACAAAGGGCCUUUUACAAAUGUUCAAUUAAUAAAUUUAAAUAGAUUGAGCAAAACAAAAUAAUAAUAAUAAUAAAUUGCAAAAUUUCUACAAGUUUAAAAAGCCUAAAUACACAGUACGAUGCAAAAAAAGGCAAAAAUCCAAAUCAUACAUAACAUGAAUGUUGAAGCCAAAAAGAUCCAGAAAAGGAAACAAUAUGUGUACUUAACCAACAGAUCAAAUAGGAGUAUACAAAGAUCAAAAUCCAAUCUUUUUUGAAACAACGCAAUAUAAAAGGGGUAUGUGAACAUUUAGAGAUACCAAAAAAUGGAAUUAAUCAAACAAAAACAUAAAGCGAACCAAAGAGAAGAGGAAGAAGAAGAAGAAGAAGAAGUGGAACCACCUUAUUGAAGAAACAACAAUUUUCGGCCAUUUUUUUCACCUUCUCUACAAAAAGGGCAUUGAAGAAGAAGCUUUUCUCUGCCCUUUUUUUACACCCCUUCUCCCUCUCUUCUCUUUCUUUCUCUCUCUCUCUCUCUCUUCUUUUCCUCUUCAAAUAUAUUCAAAAUGGGAUCUUUGAGAAACAGGGGAAAGUGGAGCGGAUCAAAACCCACAACUCCAUUUAAUCCCACUCGUGAGCUCCCCCCAUCAUUACUGCCCCCUUUUCCUCACUUGGGUAUCACUCCUCCCCCCAAUCCAAACCUAUUCAUUCAUUCAUUCAUUCUCUGUAUCAAAAUGGCACCUUUUCUCUCUCAAAAAGAAAAGGAAAAAAAAAAGUAAAAAAAUGGCACCUUUCCUCUUCCUCUGUCCUCCUCUCCCUCUCUCCUCUCUGAACGCGUCACGGGCGACGACACGUGUCGAUGCGAGGAGAAUGGGAAGAGCGAGAACGCCGAGGGAGAAGAGAGAGAGAGAGAGAGAGAGAGAGAGAGAGAGAGGAGCAGGGGACGAAAACUUUUAUUAGGAGCUAUGUUCAAUAAUAAACAAAUUUAUUAUAUGUGGGAGUUUAAAAAUUCGAGUUAAUAGAGGCUUAGAGUUUGAAUUUAAAAAUGAUGGGGGGGUUAUUAGGGAGAAUGUGCAGGGAUUAAUGAAGUGUUUUUGGACCUUUCCAGAUGCUUUUCUUCUUUUUCUGAAAUUGUUUAUUGGAUUUGUUAAAGAAACUCUGGUUCACACCACCAUUUAAAUGUCAGUGUAAUUUAAUUGAUCCUGAGACAUAGCAGAACACAUACAGUAAUUUUGGAGUACACUGUAACACAUAAGUGUAAAAAUUAUUUUUUAAAAAAUUGUUUAGCAACACUAUUUGUACAAAUUUUAUAUUACAUUCAUCCAAAAACUUUUUAUUUCUUACUUGUCUUACCACUUUUUUAACUAAAAAUUUAAAAAUUUAUUUCAAUAUAUAGGUAUACAGUUAGCAUUUUUUCUUAUUUUUUUAUUUAAAGAUGCAGUUUAAUAAUAAUAUCAAUUUUUUAACAAUAUAGUUAGCUGAUCAAACAAAUAAGUAUGUAUAAUAAAAUUAGCAUGAGCAUAUAACCAACAAAUUUGUUUGCACAAAAAUAAAAUAAAAUUUUUAACGACCGAAAAUAAAAUGAGAAUGCAUGUUUCAAAAACCAAAAAAAAAAUGAUUUACUUCUUUUAAUUUUGUUACAAAAAGAAAUAUUUACCAAAUAGCAUUAUUUAUAUAUUUUUUUUAAUAACAAUAUUUAGAUAACGCUUUAUUGAUAUUAUUACACCUACAAUAAAGCUGGAAAAGCCAAAAGAUUAUAAAAUACGCCCAAAUUUGCAAGAUUGAGCCAUGGUAGCAGAGAUACAAAACCAGAGUUUCAAAAUUACAUGAGUUUAUUUCACCUAGAGGAAAGAGGGGUAACGUAAUUUUCAGUCGUAAAUAUUUAUUUUUAUUAUUUGGUUUACUAUAUUUUUAGUUUUGAUCAAAACUAAAAAGUUUCAAAAUAGCGUAAUUGACUUCAGCCCACCAUAAGCCAAAAUUAUUUACGAAAAAAAUAAAAAAAAAAAAUAUUAAACUAUCUCUUGCAUCUCUAACUUUUGUAUUAUUCAUUUUUUGUCAAAUAAAUAAUAAAACUAAAGAAAUUUCAGUUUUAUAAUUAUACAAAUAAAUAAGAAAAAAAAUAAUUUUUACUGAAACUCUAGUUUACUCGAAAGUUUAAUUCAAUUUGAACUUCACUUUUCCUGAAACAAACAUGCAAUAAAAUAAAUGAACAGUUUCGAACCAUCCCAUAUAUUAUAAUUUAUUACUUAAUAAAUAAGCAAAAAUAAAAUAACACCUCCCUACUAUAAGUCAAGCAAAAUUAUUAUAAUGAAAAAAGAAAAAUUACUCAGUAAUCCACUUGUUAUAUAUACAUAUAUACUCUGGUAAUACAACUUUGGCUACAUUUAAAAAUUAAUAUUAUACAUAUAAAUAAAUUAUUCAAAAACUUUAAAUACUAUUCAUGUGAUUUCAUAUUUUCUUAUUUUAGUACUUUGUGGUUGAAAGUGUAUUACUCCAGUACCCUAUAAUUUCGUUUUUUGCUUUUCGUUAUCUUCUCUGUUAAUUUUUUUAUUAAAUCAGUGAGGAAAUUAAAACCGCAGGAUAUUAAAGUAAAAUUUUGAUAAACCACGUAAUACUAAAGUGAACUUUCGAUAAACUAUACGUGGGAUAUCCAAAUUUUUUUUAUAUAAUUUAACGGAGAAUUAAAAAAAAUGCCGACAGAAAGAGAAAAACGAAAUUAUAAAAUAUUAAAAUAAUAAAUUUUAAACCACAUGAUACUAAAGUAAAAAAAAAAAAAUAUGAAAUUAUAGAAAUAAUAUUUAAAUUUUUUUAAAAAUUUUAUAAUAUUUUAUGGGUAUGUAAAUCAGAAAUUAAAAAAAAAAAUGGAUGGAUAAGUAAGUCAAAGUCAAAAUAUAUGCCUUUAAUUCGACGCGGCAUUGUCUGAAAUUUCCCGCCAUGUGUUGCGGCGUGGGAACCGAGAUAUUAAAACAAGCAACGCGGCGAAACGUGGGGUCUUCACCAUCUCCGCCGUCCAUCAUAGAUCGGACGGCUCCCCUUGGACCCCAUCACGGCCCGUGUAUCUUUGCUUGAUGCGGAAGCGUAAUUGUCGCAAUUGUUGCGACUGUGGGCCCCACUUUAGAAAACAUCGAAUUUUUAUCGCGUCUAAAUUUGAAAUGCAAUUGUUGGCUACGCGGACCCCAAGUUACCCCCUUUAUGGUCUUUGGAACAAGUGUUGUUGGGGGGGAGAAUUAAUAUAUAUUAAAUAUAUGUUUAACUAUUUUUUCCUACAUCACAAUCAGAAGUAUCACUUUUGAUUUUAUUAAGAUUAUUAUUGUGUUAGGAGAAUUUUCAAAGUUUUUUAUUUGAAAUAUAUUUUACUAAACCUACUGUUGUUAAAAGCAGAAAUUAAAAAUAAAAUUAAGCAAGGCUUUACUGACUGUUUGGCCAUAUUAAGCAAAAUCUAUAAUUUUAAUAGCCGAUAUGGUGCGUUUGCUCAUUUAACGGUAUAGAAGAGCUCAAAUCAAUUAAAUUUUUCUUAAAAAAUUUUUAAAACUAUUUAAAAUAAGAUCUAGACUCUAGAUCUCAAAUAUAAAAAUUGUAUCAUCACUUUUUGAAGGAUAUUUAUUUCCAGUCAUUCAUUUUUCUGUUCACUUGAUGGACAAGAGAACAAUAUCAAAAAUUGUAAAAUUUGAUCUUCCGAUAGUUUAAAUAGUUUAGAUUAUGUUUAACGGUGUCGAUCAUCAAUUUGGAAGUUCUAUCAUCGAAAACAAAUCGAUAGUAAACCGAGCCAUUUACUACCGAUAGUAUUCUAGCAAAACUCAUAUAGAGUUUGACUGGGCUACUAUCGGUAGUAAACUGCUCGGUUUACUACCGAUUUGUUUUUGAUGAUAGAGCUUCCAAAUCGACGAUUGACACCGUUGAAUAUGAUCUAGACCAUUUAAAUUAUCUAGAAAUCAAAUUUCAUGAUUUUUUGGCAUCACUAAUUGAACAAUCAAAGGGUCACAAAAUCUAUAAUUUUAAUGGCCGAUAUGGUGCGUUUGCUCGUUUAACGGUAUAGAAGAAUUCAAAUCAACUAAAUUUUUGUUAAAAAAUUCUUUAAACUAUUUAAAAUAAGAUUUAGACUCUAGAUCUCAAAUAUAAAAAUUGUAUCAUCACUUUUUGAAAGAUAUGCAUUUCCAGCCAUUCAUUUUUCUGUUCACUUGAUGGACAAGAGAAUAGAAAAUGUGUAAAAUUUGAUUUCCUAAUAGUUUAAAUAGUUUAGAUCAUAUUUAACGGCGCCGAUCAUCAAUUUGGAAGCUCUAUCAUCGAAAACAAAUCGGUAGUAAACCGAGUCGUUUACUACCGAUAGUAUUCUAACAAAACUCUCUCUCUCUCUCUCUCUCUCUCUCUCUCUCUCUCUCUCUAUAUAUAUAUAUAUAUAUAUAUAUAUAUAUAUAUAGAGUCCGACUACUAUACUAUUGAUAGUACCAAGCCCUUGAUACUAUUGAGUUUUCUACCGUUAGAUCUAUCCUUUGAUCAUUUCCACCCGUUAGAUUAUACAAUUAAACCAACCACCCACUUAACCCUAGAGGACCACUAUCAUCCUAACCGCACAUCCUUUCAUCCAACGGCCAAAAACUCAAUAGUACCAAAGGCUUGGUACUAUUGAUAGUAUAGUAGCACUAUUCUAUAUAUAUAUAUAUAUAUAUAGAAAUAAGAUUUUGAACUUAGUGACACAAGUUUCAGUUUUUCAUAACACUCCUCAAAUAAUAAUAUAUCAUUAAAUAGCACUAUACUAUACAGCAACAGAAAAAAAAAAAGAAGACAUUAAUUAAAAAAAUCCGGCUACUAUACUUUUACGAGUACGAUCGCUUUCAUACUCAUAAUUCGUUUUCGAUAAUAUAACUUUCAAAUCGACGAUCCAUACCGUUAAAAUUAUCUAGAGCAUUUAAAAUUUCUAGAAAUUAUAUGUUAUGAUUUUUCGACAUUAUUUACCUUACGAUCAAAAGAUUACUAAAUUGACAAUUUUUUACUGUCCGUAUAGAAUACUUACUAGUUUAACGGUGUAAAAGAAUUGGAAUAGAUUAAAUUUUUGAUAAAAAAUUCUAUUCACUACCUAGAUAAAGAUCAAUAACUCUGAUCUUAAAUUGAAGAAUCCGAUUUUUAGGAUCUUAUUCAAUUUUGACCGUUCAUUUUAUGCCCACUUGAUAGACUUUAUUAUGAUUUCAAAAAAUAUGAAAUUUAUUUUGUAGAAGUUUCAAAUACUUUAGAUCAUAUUUAACGAAGUGGAUCAUCGAUUCGAAAGCUCCAUUAUCGAAAAUAACUUAUGAGUACGAAUGACUCAAAUCAAUUUACCUUAAAUCUUUAAAUUU